UUGAACGCUGGCGGCAGGCCUAACACCUGCAAGUCGAGAGGAUGAAGGGAGCUUGCUCCUGGAUUCAGCGGCGGACGGGUGAGUAAUGCCUAGGAAUCUGCCUGGUAGUGGGGGAUAACGUCCGGAAACGGGCGCUAAUACCGCAUACGUCCUGAGGGAGAAAGUGGGGGAUCUUCGGACCUCACGCUAUCAGAUGAGCCUAGGUCGGAUUAGCUAGUUGGUGGGGUAAAGGCCUACCAAGGCGACGAUCCGUAACUGGUCUGAGAGGAUGAUCAGUCACACUGGAACUGAGACACGGUCCAGACUCCUACGGGAGGCAGCAGUGGGGAAUAUUGGACAAUGGGCGAAAGCCUGAUCCAGCCAUGCCGCGUGUGUGAAGAAGGUCUUCGGAUUGUAAAGCACUUUAAGUUGGGAGGAAGGGCAGUAAGUUAAUACCUUGCUGUUUUGACGUUACCAACAGAAUAAGCACCGGCUAACUUCGUG
rnacentral:rRNA from 1 species